AAGUCGUAACAAGGUUUCCGUAGGUGAACCUGCGGAAGGAUCAUUAUUGAAUAUAAACUUGGAUAGACUGCUGCUGGCUUCUCUUUGAGGGGGGCAUGUGCACGUUUGUCCUCUUUGUUUUUCCACCUGUGCACCUUUUGUAGGCUUGGAUUAUCACUGGUUCUAUAAUGUGUCUUUCAAAGGCAUAAGAAUUGUUUUGGGGCUGCUGUGUUUAAACACAUGUUUAUCAGCUUUCCCUUUUAUUUUCCAAGUCUAUGUUUGCUAUAUACACUUCAGAAAUGUAAUAGAAUGCUGUACUUUAGGUCAUUUGUACCUAUAAUAAAAUCAGUACAACUUUCAGCAACGGAUCUCUUGGCUCUCGCAUCGAUGAAGAACGCAGCGAAAUGCGAUAAGUAAUGUGAAUUGCAGAAUUCAGUGAAUCAUCGAAUCUUUGAACGCAUCUUGCGCUCCUUGGUAUUCCAAGGAGCAUGCCUGUUUGAGUAUCAUUAAAUUAUCAACUGUGCCAAUUUGGUUACAGAUUGGAUGUGGGAGAUUUCUUGCAGGCUUUUGACUUUCUCUUUGAGAAGGGUUAGAAAAAAAAGUCAGCUCUCCUGAAAUGUAUUAGCAGUGCCUUUGUUGGUUCAUUAGGUGUGAUAAUUUAUCUACAUCUUCAAAUGGUACCUUCAUUUGUAAAGGGUCAUAUUGCUUCUAAUUGUCUUUGGACAAAACACGUAUAAUGUGUGACAGACUUGAUCUCAAAUCAGGCAGGACUACCCGCUGAACUUAA
rnacentral:rRNA from 1 species